rnacentral:rRNA from 1 species
CGGGUUGCAGCAGUGGGGAAUUUUGGACAAUGGGCGCAAGCCUGAUCCAGCAAUGCCGCGUGCAGGAUGAAGGCCUUCGGGUUGUAAACUGCUUUUGUACGGAACGAAACGGUCCUUUCUAAUACAAGGGGCUAAUGACGGUACCGUAAGAAUAAGCACCGGCUAACUACGUGCCAGCAGCCGCGGUAAUACGUAGGGUGCGAGCGUUAAUCGGAAUUACUGGGCGUAAAGCGUGCGCAGGCGGUUAUAUAAGACAGAUGUGAAAUCCCCGGGCUCAACCUGGGACCUGCAUUUGUGACUGUAUAGCUAGAGUGCGGCAGAGGGGGAUGGAAUUCCGCGUGUAGCAGUGAAAUGCGUAGAUAUGCGGAGGAACACCGAUGGCGAAGGCAAUCCCCUGGGCCUGCACUGACGCUCAUGCACGAAAGCGUGGGGAGCAAACAGGAUUAGAUACCCCCGU